rnacentral:hammerhead_ribozyme from 1 species
AGCCGAAACCUAUUUAAAGGUCUACAGGGGUUAGCCUCCCUGUACUGAUGAUGGCAGGCUAGG